rnacentral:misc_RNA from 1 species
GAUGAAGAACGUAGUGAAAUGCGAUAAGUAAUGUGAAUUGCAGAAUUCAGUGAAUCAUCGAAUCUUUGAACGCACAUUGCGCCCCUUGGUAUUCCGAGGGGCAUGCCUGUUCGAGCGUCAUUACACCACUCAAGCUAUGCUUGGUAUUGGGCGUCGUCCUUAGUUGGGCGCGCCUUAAAGACCUCGGCGAGGCCACUCCGGCUUUAGGCGUAGUAGAAUUUAUUCGAACGUCUGUCAAAGGAGAGGAACUCUGCCGACUGAAACCUUUAUUUUUCUAGGUUGACCUCGGAUCAGGUAGGGAUACCCGCUGAACUUAAGCAUAUCAAUAACGGAGGA